rnacentral:rRNA from 1 species
CACGGGGGGAGCAAGCGUUGUUCGGAUUCAUUGGGCGUAAAGGGCUCGUAGGUGGCUUUGUAAGUCGGAGGUGAAAUCCCACGGCUCAACCGUGGACACGCCUUCGAAACUGUGAAGCUUGAGGCUGGGAGAGGAGAUCGGAAUUCCUGGUGUAGCGGUGAAAUGCGUAGAUAUCAGGAGGAAUACCGGUGGUGUAGACGGCUCUCUGGACCGCGACUGACGCUGAGACACGAAAGCGUGGGUAGCAAACAGG